GACGAACGCUGGCGGCGUGCUUAACACAUGCAAGUCGAACGGAAAGGCUCCAGCUUGCUGGAGUGCUCGAGUGGCGAACGGGUGAGUAACACGUGGGUAAUCUGCCCUGCACUCUGGGAUAAGCUUGGGAAACUGGGUCUAAUACUGGAUAUGACCUUUCUCCUUAUGGGGUUUGGUGGAAAGUUUUUCGGUGUAGGAUGAGCCCGCGGCCUAUCAGCUUGUUGGUGGGGUGAUGGCCUACCAAGGCGACGACGGGUAGCCGGCCUGAGAGGGUGAUCGGCCACAUUGGGACUGAGAUACGGCCCAGACUCCUACGGGAGGCAGCAGUGGGGAAUAUUGCACAAUGGGCGGAAGCCUGAUGCAGCGACGCCGCGUGAGGGAUGACGGCCUUCGGGUUGUAAACCUCUUUCAGCAGGGACGAAGCGUAAGUGACGGUACCUGCAGAAGAAGCACCGGCUAACUAUGUG
rnacentral:rRNA from 1 species